rnacentral:rRNA from 1 species
GGAGGGAUCAUUACCGAGUUUACAACUCCCAAACCCCUGUGAACAUACCUAUACGUUGCCUCGGCGGAUCAGCCCGCGCCCCGUAAAACGGGACGGCCCGCCCGAGGACCCCUAAACUCUGUUUUUAGUGGAACUUCUGAGUAAAACAAACAAAUAAAUCAAAACUUUCAACAACGGAUCUCUUGGUUCUGGCAUCGAUGAAGAACGCAGCAAAAUGCGAUAAGUAAUGUGAAUUGCAGAAUUCAGUGAAUCAUCGAAUCUUUGAACGCACAUUGCGCCCGCCAGUAUUCUGGCGGGCAUGCCUGUUCGAGCGUCAUUUCAACCCUCAAGCUCAGCUUGGUGUUGGGACUCGCGGUAACCCGCGUUCCCCAAAUCGAUUGGCGGUCACGUCGAGCUUCCAUAGCGUAGUAAUCAUACACCUCGUUACUGGUAAUCGUCGCGGCCACGCCGUUAAACCCCAACUUCUGAAUGUUGACCUCGGAUCAGGUAGGAAUACCCGCUGAACUUAAGCAUAUCAAUAAG